UACAUGGGGUGCAAACGUUGCUCGGAAUCAUUGGGCGUAAAGCGCGCGUAGGCGGUUACUUAUGUCGGAUGUGAAAGCCCUCGGCUUAACUGAGGAAGUGCACCCGAAACUGAGUAGCUAGAGUACGAAAGAGGGUCGCGGAAUUCCCGGUGUAGAGGUGAAAUUCGUAGAUAUCGGGAGGAACACCGGUGGCGAAGGCGGCGACCUGGGUCGAGACUGACGCUGAGGCGCGAAAGCGUGGGGAGCAAACAGG
rnacentral:rRNA from 1 species